GAAAAAAGGCAAAAAUGAGAUGACAAGAUGAGUGCUGGGGAUAAUUGACCAAUGCUCGAUUAGUGCACAGCUCUAAACCUACAGAUAUUUGGUAUACAAAAGACAGGUCGAUUGCUUGAAGCACAAUAAACCAUGUGCUAAAAUUACUGAUUUCACAUCUGAAGAAGAUUGUUCACAGUGACAGUGACAGAAUUUGUUCGCUGC
rnacentral:misc_RNA from 1 species